AAGGCAUGUGACAUCAAAAUGAACAAUACUGUUGUGAUUUCUUCCAAAUAUAGGAUCUAGAAGACCUUUUCGAAGCUUAUGGUAUCAAGCUGGCUCUUUUGAAGGAAUUGAUGGACCUUUUCCUCCAGGAAGGGCCUGAAAUGUUGACGCAACAUAUCACCGCCUCCAAAAAGGGGAGAGGAAAGGCAGCCAGGAAGAAACAGGGAACCAAACAAACCAUGGACUAUGUGGCUCCAGCAAAGUCUGGUGUUCCCAGUGAGACUUUGGCUACCACCAUAGAAAUUCCCAGAGAAGAUCUGGGCAUAAAUGGAGAAUAUCCAACCCAAGAAACCUUCUUGCCUCCUUCUACUUUUCCACUCUCCACUAUU